UCCUUUUUUUGUGCUGUUGAAUUCAAUUUGAUAACAUCUUAUUGAGGAUCUAUUUUCAUAAGGGAUAUUUGUCUCUAAUUUUCUUUUCUUUUGGUAUCUUUGUCUGGUUAUGGUAUCUGGGUAAAGCUGGCCUUAUAGAAUGUGUUAGGAAGUGUUUCCGCCUCUUCAAUUUUUUGGAACAAGUCUGGCACUUGAAAUAUACCAUCCCAUUGCCUUGGGCCUCUAUGGUUUCUGAUGAGAAACUGACCAUUAAUCUUAUUGAAAAUCAUUUGUCCAUGACAGUCACCCAAUGGGCAUGAAGGCUGCAGAGAGCCCUGAGAAUGGAGGAGGCUGCGCAGAGAAGACAGAUGUGCUGGCAGUGAACCGAUCGUACUGAUGACACGUGACCAGAGGGAGCUCUCCCAAGCCCCCAGGUCUAGCUACGAUGAAGACCCUGGCGUGAAGUUAUUCCCAAGAAUGACUCACUAAGGUUAAAUUCUCUGCCAGCUCAAAUCAAACUUACAUCAAUUUACAGAAAAUAAGGGAGGUGAUAUAUUUCAAAUUCUAGAGUUUCGAAAAUUUAUACGUGUACGUCCACAAUUUUGAGCGACUGGGCAUGCUUUGUAUCAAUGCAAUACCUAUUUGCAGAAAAAAGUCAUUGGACUAUCUAAUAGGAUCUACAUAUAAUAAGAGAGUUCAGCAAGAUUGCUGGGUACUAGGUGAAUAUAGAAAAAUCAGUGGGUUCUAGACAACAACAGGACAGUCAUAAAAUAUAAUUUUUAGAAAAGAUUUUAUUUAUGAUAGGAACAAAGUCUCUAAGGUAUAUUGGAAUACAUAAUAAGUGUAUGAGACUUAUGGAGAAAGUUAUUUUGAAAAAGAGAAAGAAAAAGAAAAAGAAAUGGCAAAACAUUCUUUGUCCUUGAAUAAGAAGAUUCAACACUCCUAAAAAUGUCAGUUCUCCCCAAGUUAACUCACAGAUGCAAUAACAUUCUCAUCAAAAACCCAAUAGUGUUUUUCAAGCAACUUAACAAGUUGUUUUUAAAAUUUAAAUAUGAAAAUAAAAGGCCUAGAAUAAUCAAGAAAAAAAUGGGAGAAAAAUAAGUUGGGGGGUUACCUUAUCAAAUAGCAAUAUUUGUUGCAAGGCUAUAGUUAUUAAGACAAUGCAGUAUUUACAUGGGGAGUUUUUGAAAAACAAAGUCCAGCAGAAGACAGUAGAAAGUUCAGAAACAGAUCUCCUCACGUUUAGACUUCAUAGAUGACAGAGGCAUGAAAAAAUAGUGGAGGAAAGGUGGACUCUGAUCAGUGGUGCUGGAGAAUUGGUUAUGCAUGUGGGGAAAAAUUAAAUUACAUCCCCAAUUCAUACUGUUACCAAAAAGAAAUGAAAAAUUGGAGAGCUAAAUGUAAAUAACAAAUUUUUAUAAGUUUAAAAAAAAUUUGGGGUUUAUUUAUGACCUUAGGGUACAGAAGUUUCCUUAACAAGAUAGGAAAAAGCACAGAUCAUAAAGGAAAAUACUGAUACAUUUGUCUAAGUGAAAAAAAAAUCUGCACACCAAAGCAAUCGUAAGGAGGACUAGUCUGCUCAGGGCUGUGGCCACCACAGCCCAUGGUCAAGUAGCUUUCUGCUGACACUUCAGAGGCAAUGUCAAGAAAUCCACGUGCAGCCACUAGUCAUGUCUGAAACGUCCCAGCUUAGUGCCUGGAACAAAACUUAGGCUUAAUAAACUUGUGUGAAAUCUAAAUGACUAUAAUGUUAAAUAUUUUGUUAAAAAGCUAUUAUAUUCUCAACAUGGAAAUGGAAAACGUGGAGAAAAUGUUGCAAUAAAUACUCAUAUACGUCUCACCCAGAUUAA